CCUACGGGAGACUGCAGUGGGGAAUAUUGGGCAAUGGGCGCAAGCCUGACCCAGCAACGCCGCGUGAAGGAAGAAGGCUUUCGGGUUGUAAACCUCUUUUCUGAGGGACGAAGAAAGUGACGGGACCACAGGAAUAAGCAACGGCUAACUACGUGCCAGCAGCCGCGGUAAUACGUAGGUGGCAAGCGUUAUCCGGAUUUAUUGGGUGUAAAGGGAGCGUAGGCGGGCUUUUAAGUCAGCUGUGAAAGUCCGCGGCUCAACCGUGGAAUUGCAGUUGAAACGGGAGGCCUUGAGUGCACACAGGGAUGCCGGAAUUCAUGGUGUAGCGGUUAAAUGCUUAGAUCUCAUGAAGAACUCCGAUCGCGAAGGCACGUGUCCGGGGUGCAACUGACGCUGAGGCUCGAAAGUGCGGGUAUCAAACAGGAUUAGAUACCCUGGUAGUC
rnacentral:rRNA from 1 species